CGGUCAGCAGUUCACCGAGGCGCCGUCACCCUUUUGGGAGCUAAACCUGCUA
rfam:Desulfovibrio salexigens DSM 2638, complete genome.